UAGAGUUUGAUCCUGGCUCAGGACGAACGCUGGCGGCGUGCUUAACACAUGCAAGUCGAACGAUGAACCUGGAGCUUGCUCCGGGGGAUUAGUGGCGAACGGGUGAGUAACACGUGAGUAACCUGCCCUUGACUCUGGGAUAACCUCCGGAAACGGAAGCUAAUACCGGAUAUGACGUACGGAGGCAUCUCCUGUACGUGGAAAGAAUUUCGGUCAAGGAUGGACUCGCGGCCUAUCAGGUAGUUGGUGAGGUAACGGCUCACCAAGCCUACGACGGGUAGCCGGCCUGAGAGGGUGACCGGCCACACUGGGACUGAGACACGGCCCAGACUCCUACGGGAGGCAGCAGUGGGGAAUAUUGCACAAUGGGCGCAAGCCUGAUGCAGCAACGCCGCGUGAGGGAAGAAGGCCUUCGGGUUGUAAACCUCUUUCAGGAGGGACGAAGCCACUCGGGUUAAUAGCCCAGAGGGUGACGGUACCUCCAGAAGAAGCCCCGGCUAACUACGUGCCAGCAGCCGCGGUAGCCCAAU
rnacentral:rRNA from 1 species